AUGUUGAGGUGUGAUUAUUUGCUGGAACUAGAGGUAUUUUUUGCUGGAACCAGAGCUGCAUCUGGCAAGACUUGGAACAACGACGAGAUGGGGAGGGUGCACGACGACUGCUACUUUCAAGCAGCGGAGAGAAGCGGGGAGCUGCGAGUCACGAUGAUGGCGGUGGCCGUGGUGGGGUGGGACGAGCUAGGUGCAACGGCCAUGGAGGGGCUGCCGGAGAGGCGGGAUUCCGGCAGCUGCGCGGGUGGGGGCAGCGAUGCAAUGGAUUUCGGUGAUCUGGGCCGCAUCCUCUCCUUUUUUUUUUUCUUUUUUCUCUCAUGCGCGAAUGCGAGAGUGGGGGACCAAACGCUCCUAAUCUGA
rnacentral:rRNA from 1 species